rnacentral:tRNA from 1 species
AACACGAUGGCCGAGUGGUUAAGGCGUUGGACUUAAGUUCUAAUGGUCAAUUGUCCGCGUGGGUUCGAACCCCACUCGUGCUA